rnacentral:tRNA from 1 species
GGAUUGUGGCUCAAUGAUAGAGCAUUCGCCUAGCAUGUGCGAGGCCCUGGGUUCAAUCCUCAGCACCA